rnacentral:lncRNA from 10 species
CUGAAGGCUUUCCCUCAGAAAGCUGGACCCGCCCUGGGAAGCAGGUCCUAACCCCCCUUCACAGUCGAGCACAAGACCGCUUCAUUCACACUGCAGGAGCCAGCCCUGCUGUCAGACUGACGGUGCCAAACCCCCUUCUCCAAUGCUGCCCCCAAAAGGAACCAGGGAUCCAUUAUCCUGAUCAUGUCAAACGGCACCACGGUGAAUACGAGUCUUGGAAGCCAGACACUCUGGGUUCACAUGCCCCCUGGGCCCGCCCUUACGGUCUCUGCCUCAGUUUCCCCAUCGUAAGAAUGAUGUAGGUACCUCAAAGUGUUGUUACAACGAUUAAGUAAAUCUUAAGAUACAUUUGAAACUUGAACACGGGUUUCAAUUGUGCAGGUGCACUUAAACGUGGACUUUUUUUCUACCUCUGCCACCCCUGAGACACCAAGACCAAC